UGCUCUGGGUUCCUUUCAUCCCAACAAAUUCGCCUUUUACUAAAGAUUUCCGUGGAGAGGACCUGCUAAAGAGUCUCAAAGAAUUUUUGCACAGCCAGUUUCGCAUACAGGCU